ACAGCAGCAGCAGCAGUUCAGCUGGCAGAGGUGCUGUUGCUGAGCUGGGAGUGGAAAGCACAUUUUCUCUUCAUGAUAGAUGGUGUACCUGCACGUGGGAAGGUGAGAGGUGGUGACAGUGGGGGCGGGGACUCCACCAUGGGACCUAUUGAGCUGGGGUCUUCAUCCGUUCCAGCUCCUGGCCCAGAAGGAGCCUCACCAUGGCUUCAUGAUGGCCUCACCAUGGAACCCAAGAACACAGCUGCCACAGGACUGCUCCUACCCUCCCAAGAGCCACUCUUAAACAGCUGCCAAAUGGCAGCCAGCAACCUGGGGUGAAGAGGUGGGCAGUAAAUGGAUGUGGUCCUAGUGAAGUCUUCUAACAAGAUUUCUGACAGUCUUACUCUGUCACCCAGGCUGGAGUGCAGUGCCACAAUCUCGGCUCAUUGCAACCUCUGCCUCCCAGGUUCAAGCGAUUCUCAUGCCUCAGCCUCCCGAGAAGCUGGGAUUAUAGGCAUGCACCACCAUGCCCAGCUAAUGUUUUGCAUUUUUAGUAGAGACGGGGUUUCAUCAUGUUGGCCAGGCUGGUCUCAAACUGCUGACUUCAAGUGAUCUGCCCGACUUGGCCUCCCAAAGUGCUGAGAUUACGGAUGUGAGCCACUGCGCCUGGCCUGCAAGACUCUUUUGUGUGUGUGUGUGUGUAUUUCAGUGCUGUGUACUGAAACAGGAAGGAUCUCCAUUAAUGCUGGUAGUACUAGAAGGUAACAUGCAAUGCCAUCUACCCUUCUAUUGACUCUUCAGUACUAUCAAGGAAGAAAAGGAAAAUAACCAGUAGCCUGGAAGAAGCUUUAAGCUCAUUAGAUAAAGUGUGCUGUCCGGAUUUUCCCCAGACCUUCUCUGUCCAUGAUAAACAGAGGGAGAGCUGGGAUAGGGUUUUGAACAAUUGCAUUGCAGCCAUGUUGAUGUGGGUGGUGUAAUGAAAGUUGGAAAAAUCAGAGUGAUUUGAAGAGUAUGUUUGUACUUUAUUUAGUUUUCUGCUUGGAGCUAGCAAACAUUCUCUGCCUAAUAGUACUGGUUAGUUUUGUCAAAGACCAAGAGCAGGGAAAUAUGUCACUGCAGUCUAUGAAUUAUCCAUGCAACUGGGAAGUGUGUUUCUUUACUUAACUUUCUCUAUUCAAAGCAAACUUAUUUUUUCCUCUUGUAAUUCUAGGGAAAAAAAAUACCCUAACCCCUCAGACAGUGACAUUACUGUCACCUGCUUAAAAUAGUAUGACGUUCUUCCAGUCUUAGAAUACUCUCUAGGGCUCUCUGUUUUCCAUGAAAGCAUUUAUUUCAGUCAAAAUACUUCAUGCUUUUUCUCCACUCCGACAUUCACCAAAAAGGAGCUGUAAGAAAAUAUAGCAACUCAAAACCGCCAUGUCAUUUUUAAAGGAGCUAUUUUCUUUUUUGACUAAUCAACCUUCGUUGUCUCCUUGGGUACUGAAGGAGCCACAGGACUGGGUGGCGACUGUGUCCCCGAGGAAGAGCCGAUCUCUCAGCUGCCUGUGUGACUACACAUGUCUAGGGGUCUGAAGCCUGCCUGGGAGGGGUCCCUGGAGAGGGUAGGGGCUGACACUCCCCUGCACCCUCACCCCGGAGUUGACAUCGCUGGUCUGUUACACCCGCAUUCUUCUUCUCCCCUGAUUGGGCCGGGACCAGGUGUGGGCCUCCCUCCUCCUCUCGUCAUCCCUCCUGACUUCUGCAGGCCUCAUCCUGGAAAGCCGGGAGGGCCGCCCCCAUCUCCCGCAUGAUGAACCUUUUGAAUAUUCGGACGUGGGCUCCUGGUUGGAGAUGUCAUGUCUUUCCUUCUGUUGUUAGUCUGGAGACAACACAGACCCCCCUGGUUUACCUGUGUAGUCCCAGGGUGUCUCAGGUGCCAGGAGCCGCUGCCACGAGUGCCUCGUCUCCUGUCAGAUGUGGUUGGUGAGAGACGAGGACAGCAUGACCACUGGGCACCACACAGUACAGAGGUCAGCGUGCAAGGACAGCGGGACGGCAGUGAUGUGGCCGUGACUACUUGUCAAGU
rnacentral:lncRNA from 1 species